GGAACGUCCCGCCGCCGACCGUCGUAAAGCGCGAGGCCGCGCUGGAGGAGCUGGGUGACUCGAAGCCUGGGUCUUGCACGGCGAUUCGAGUCUCUAAAUCUAGUUCCCUCAGAUUCUCCUAGUUGCUGACUCUAAGAAAGAGGAACUAGGAAACACGAACCAGUGGCCGUGGCAGGGCAGGCCUGGAGCUGUUUGGGCAAUAAAGGUCAUCUCUGUGGAGACAGACGGAAAAGGUAUACAUAUGGGAAGCCAGUGAAAGGAGAUAUAAUGCUUACAUUUUUACCUCUGUCGUUUUGGGGAGAGAAGAAAAAUAUUACAAAAAAAUUUAAGGUCAAGGCCACCCGUUCUGAUACCAAUCGACUGACUCCUGAAGAAAGAAACAAUAAUGUAGUAAUAGCAGUGACACAGAGGAAC